GUGGGGAAUAUUGGACAAUGGGCGAAAGCCUGAUCCAGCCAUGCCGCGUGUGUGAAGAAGGUCUUCGGAUUGUAAAGCACUUUAAGUUGGGAGGAAGGGCAGUAAGUUAAUACCUUGCUGUUUUGACGUUACCAACAGAAUAAGCACCGGCUAACUUCGUGCCAGCAGCCGCGGUAAUACGAAGGGUGCAAGCGUUAAUCGGAAUUACUGGGCGUAAAGCGCGCGUAGGUGGUUCAGCAAGUUGAAGGUGAAAUCCCCGGGCUCAACCUGGGAACUACCUCCAAAACUACUGAGCUAGAGUACGGUAGAGGGUAGUGGAAUUUCCUGUGUAGCGGUGAAAUGCGUAGAUAUAGGAAGGAACACCAGUGGCGAAGGCGACUACCUGGACUGAUACUGACACUGAGGUGCGAAAGCGUGGGGAGCAAACAGGAUUAGAUACCCGGGUAGUCC
rnacentral:rRNA from 1 species